AUGUGGAGACUUUUUUUUCAGCAGAUAUGGUGCAGCUGUUCCCAUACCAAUACAUUAUUGUUUCCUGCACAUACAGAGUUUCCAGUGCUCGAAUAUAAGCAGACAAUACAAGGUAGCCCUUCCGGUAUCAUGGAAGCAGUAGUAUUCUCCAACAGUUUCUCUUUUAAGGUGAAGUAUUUUCUUCUCUGGCAAAAUUACCCGAUAGAAGCAAACCAGGCUAAAGCUUGCACAUCCUUUGCAAAGCCAGGCUGGGUCAUGCGCAGAGCAAAGCCAAGCAGUGAGGCUGGGAUUGUAUUGACAAGAACAAGAUGA
rnacentral:lncRNA from 1 species